UUGAACGCUGGCGGCAUGCCUUACCCCUGCCAGUCGCACGGUAACAGGUCUUCGGAUGCUGCCGAGUGGCGAACGGGUGAGUAAUACAUCGGAACGUGCCCAGACGUGGGGGAUAACGAGGCGAAAGCUUUGCUAAUACCGCAUACGAUCUAAGGAUGAAAGCAGGGGACCGCAAGGCCUUGCGCGUUUGGAGCGGCCGAUGGCAGAUUAGGUAGUUGGUGGGAUAAAAGCUUACCAAGCCGACGAUCUGUAGCUGGUCUGAGAGGACGACCAGCCACACUGGGACUGAGACACGGCCCAGACUCCUACGGGAGGCAGCAGUGGGGAAUUUUGGACAAUGGGCGAAAGCCUGAUCCAGCAAUGCCGCGUGCAGGAUGAAGGCCUUCGGGUUGUAAACUGCUUUUGUACGGAACGAAAAGGCUCUGGCUAAUACCUGGGGCACAUGACGGUACCGUAAGAAUAAGCACCGGCUAACUACGUG
rnacentral:rRNA from 1 species